rnacentral:lncRNA from 1 species
AUUGUGAAUACAUUACCUUCUACUCCUUUUGUCCCAACUUAGGCUUUUCUCUGGGAAAUUUCUGAAUACGAGUUGACAUAACUGUUAUCUAAGCUUCCACAGAUGUGGGUAAAAGGGUCCCCUAGUUCCUGUACAAGUAUUCCAGGUUCAAGAAGAAUCUCUGAGUUGGUUAGGAGUUGGAAUCCAGGCCAGAUGUUGCUGCCCAACCAGCAUUAAUGGCUCAACUCAAGGAACAAAGAACCAUCUUCACAAGCCUUCAGCCCAGCAAAAGAUUUAUCCAUGCUACAUCUUGAUGUGAAGUUGGUGGGACCAAUGCUUUAUAAAAGGCAAGCUAAGUUUUGAGUCAAUUCUGCUAGAGACAGAGAUGGUGUUAUGAAAUGUAUACCCAGAGUUAUUAG